CUGAACGCAGCAGGGAAAUGAUUGUCACACAACCAAGUAAAUUUUCGUGAAUAACAGGGCGUCGUGAAGCGUUUAAUUUUUGUUACAAAAUUUUGGAAAAUUGCCAGCCCCUACAUUUAUUUGUUUCAAAGUGUUGAAAGUCGCUUAUUUUUUAAAAAUAAGAAAUAAUGGAAACAAUUGUAAACCUUUUUUUUCUUCUCUCUUUGUUUGAUGACUAUCAGCAAGGCAGCCUAUAGCUUGAACACGGCCAACAUGCUGACAUCGCGAUUGAUGGAUCAGAUAAACCGCACAGACUGUAUGGCAUCCGGCCGUAAUAUUCCCCACUUUUGGCAUCCAACUAUUAACGCUUCCAAAACGUACACUGAAAAUUGCCUGAAAUUCGACUCUAUUUUUAAAACAAACAUGUGGACGUUAACAUUUUAUUUUGUUGUUUUUAGCGAGUUUUAACACUGAGGUGGUUUUUAAUUGAUUGUGAUAAACGUGUUUCCCUUUUUA